AUUUUGAUACAGGCAUGCAAAGUGAAAUAAUCACAUCAUGGGGAAUGGGGUAUUCAGCCCUUCAAGCAUUUACCCUUUAUGCUAUAAACAAUCCAGUUAUACCCCUAGUUAUUUUAAAAUGUACAGUUAAGUGAUUGUUGACUAUAGUCACUCUGUUGUGCUGUCAAUAGUAGGUCUUAUUCAUUCUUUCAUGUGUGUGACAUAUGUGACUUUUAUUAUGUUGAGGUAUGUUCCUUCUAUACCCAGUUUUUGGAGGUUUUUUUUUUUAUCACGAAGGGAUAUUGAAUUUUAUCAAAUAUUUUUUCAGCAUCAAUUGGAGUGAUUAUUGUUUUUAUCUUUCACUCUGUUGAUAUGAUGUAUCACAUUGAUUUGCAUAUGUUGGACCAUUUUUGCAUCCCAGGGAUAAAUCUUACUUGGUCAUGGUGAAUGAUAUUUCUAAUGUAUUGUUGAAUUUCGUUUGUAGUAUUUUUUUUGAGAAUUUUUGCAUCAAUACUAAUCAGAGCUAUUGGCCUGUAGUUUUCUUUUUUCUGAUGUGUCUUUGUCUGGUUUUGGUAUCAGGGCAAUACUGGCUUCAAAGAAUGAGUUUGGAAGUAUUCCCUGCUCCUCUAUUUUUGGAAGAGUUUGAGUAAGAUUGGUCUUAGUUCUUUAAAUAUUUGGUAGAAUUCAGCAGUGAAGCCAUGGGUUCCAGGCUUUUCUUGACUGGAAGACUUUUUAUUAUGGCUUCAAUCUUGUUACUUAUUAUUGGUCUGUUCAUGUUUUAUACUUCUUCCUGGUUCAAUCUUGGUAGGUUGCAUGUGUCUAGGAGUUUGUCCAUUUCUUCUAGGCUUUCCAAUUUACUGGCAUACAGUUGCUCACAGUAGCUACUAAUGAUCCUUUGAAUUUCUGCAGUAUCAUUUGUAUUAUCUCCUUUUUCAUUUCUGAUUUUAUUAAUUUGCAUCUUCUCUCUUUUUUCUUACUCUGGCUAAAGGUUUGUCAAUUUUGUUUAACUUUUUAAAAACCCAACUUUUUGUUUCAUUGCUCUUUUGUACUGUUUUCUUUAUUUCUACUCUGAUCUUUAUUACUUCUUUUCUACUAAUUUUGGAUUUGGUUUGCUCUUGAUUUUCUAAUUCUUCAAGAUGUAUCAUUAGAUUAUUUGAAGUUUUUCCUCUUUUUUGAUGUAGACACUUAUGUCCAUAUACUGCCCUCUUAAUACUGCUCUCGCUGUAUCCAGUAGGUUUUGGUAUGUUGUGUUUCCAUUAUCAUUCAGGAGCAUAUUGUUGCAUUUCCAUGUUUUUGUAUGGUUUCCAAAAUUCCUCUUGUUAUUAAUUUCCAGUUUUUUCAUUCAUGGUCAGAUAAGAUGCUUGAUAUGAUUUCAAUUUUU
rnacentral:lncRNA from 10 species